AAGAGUUGAGGCAGGAGCGUAUCCAGGGAAGCGGUGCGUUCGGGCCUGGACGAUAAGCGUUUGAGAAAUCGUAAGUCAUGAGCGAGAAGCCAUCGACGGCGUGUUGCAAAGAAUGGAGGUCCCCUCGCGUGAACUCUUCCGGACCUCCUCCACGCUCGGGUGGUAUAACGAGCACGAGUUGCAAUGGACGGGUGGCGCUGGCAGCGUUGAGCUUGUGUAAGGACGAGCCAAGUUCUCGGAUAAAUGCUAGAGCCUGUAGAUUUCUUGUUGUCAGACAAUGUUCUUGAAAUUGUUUCUUACAAACCUUUUCACGUAAACGAUGGUUCUCGAGUAUUCUGUAAGAAGCCCAGGAAUUCCACGCUUCCAGCACGAUGCCAUCGUAAGCUUGCUCCCUAAGAGAAAAUCACAAAAAAAGAAAAAGAUGAAAGACUCACGUACUUGCACUCUUCGAGGAUUAGCUUGAUUGCCUUUUGCUUCUCGUCUGCACUCACAAGCAUGCUGUCUAAGGACCAGCCUUCAAGCACCACACGCGGAACAAUCUGCGCGAAAUGGUCACUGAAAGAAGUAACUAUCAUAAGAAUCACAAGACCAAAAACUUGAUAGAUACACAUAAAAACUAUAAGAUCAUACCAGUGGAAAUCCCUGCUUUCGCACUUCGGAAAUCCAUCCUUGAUCCACAUCAUGCUUGCCCGCUAAACUCAUGCCUUUGUCAUCUCUACAGAAUUUACAGAACAAUCAACUUACACAACAGUGAGGAGCAAAGCCUACCUUCUUAGCUGAUACCACACAGGAGAAACGUGAGUGAGCUUGUGCCGGAAUUUUUUUGCCAUAUCAUAUCCUUUGGAAUUCCUGCGACAAAGAUCAUCCAUGAGAAGAACAAUCAAACACGAACUAACCAUGGCGUGACAUAGGCGAGAACAGUACCAUUCAGCUUUCUCUUAGCUCCAAGACGCGGAGCUCGCGAUGCUGCCUGAGGAAAAAGGAGAAAAGCAAAGCGAUGGAUGAAGAAAACAUGGAGAAAUCGAUCUAGCAUACCUUCAAGAUAUCUCUGUAGAACAGAUCCUCACCUCCUCCCAAAGAACUAGCGAGUGGAUCUCUAGAAUAAUGGAAAUACCACGCUAAGAAGAAGAAAACAAGCACCAAGGCCAAAAUGCCGUGCUUGAACCGCGAUCCAGUGCUUUGCUGGGAAUCUCCAGCCUUCUCAAGAGCAUUGGAGCCUGGUCUACGAGCCUGGCGCUCACCGCUGCUGUGCCGGCGCCUCUGCUGAGCCAUCUGGCAAGGAUGCCCUAAUUCCAAUGCGGAGGUUUUUGUUAGGGUUUAUCGCCCAUGGCUAUGGAGGACGGUGGCGCGCUGCUCGUUUCUCCUCCUUGGAAGCAAAUGGAGGUAACUCGAGGCUCGAUCCUAACAAAGCGCUGUGGAUUGACACGAUUUGAUGGAUCAGGAGUAUUAUUCUCAGCUGACCGGCAUGGCAUUGCGCGUGAAAUCUACCGCGACGAUGGGGAAAGGUAUCGCUGUGCUUGUUUCUCUCGCGAAUUCUAGCUUUGGAGAUCUUGCAGGCCUCUUUGCCGAGAGAGAUUUUGACGCGGAAGAGGUGAUCUUGAUCGAAGAGCCCCUCGUUGCUGCACAGCACAGCCAUAACAAGGUAUUUGAUUGGAAUUUUUUUGCUUUACGAGUUCUUGUUCUUGUUCUUGUUCAUUCAUGGACAGAACGAUGCGGUUGUGUGUGGCUUUUGCUUUCGCUACGUCGGUUCCAUCCAGCUCCAAAUACAACGCAAACUUGAAGCUCCAGAGACUCAGUCGUGCUGCUGUCACGAAGAAGAAGAUGACGAAGAAGACCAUCACCGGCAUGGUGUUUCUUCGGAGGAAGCGUUAGUUCUUCUAAAAGGUGAUGGUUUCUCUCUUCCUCAUGGAGACAAGUUUUUGCUACCGGAGGUAGUCAAGUGCUCCGGUGGAUGCUCGGAGAUUUACUGCAGGUUAGUUUGUGAAUGCGCUGCGACUUCCUUCUCAUAACUCUUGCUUGCUUCCUUUUGCGAGUAGCAAAUCGUGUGCACAAAGGGCCUGGCAUGACCACCACUCGUUGCUUUGCGAUGGUGUUUCACAACACAGGGACGAGCUUGUUCUUUUCAAAGAAUUUGCUGAUGGUAAACUGCUGUUCUCUACUCGUCCUGACUUUCAUCCUCUCCAGAAACCAAUGACAUUUUCCAUUUGGCCAGCAAGGUAGCCUUCGCUUGUUUCUUUGUUUUGCGACUAUGUUUUACGUUCUCUGUGCAGUUGAUUGCGAAGGUUAUGCUUCGCACGAAAAAGCUCUCUGAAAGCAGUGGAGUUACAGACCGAAAUACACUCCUUGAGGCGUGGAAACCAUUUGCCAUGGGAGAAAAGCGUCUGUAAGUACGCUUUUCGCUUCGUAAGAGUUUAAUUUCGCCAAGUUCAGGUGGUGGGAAGCCGUGGCUCUUCCAGACGACGUUGAUCCUUUAGAAGAAGCAUCUUUCAGGAGCCAAAUCAAGGAAUUAGCGGAAGCAGUAAGUUCCAAAGCAUAACGAUUAUGUACACUAACAUGUUCAUGUUUUUUCUAGUCCUUGAGCCAGCUCAAAGCUGCGCUGUGGGAGCCGGAGUUUGCACCUCGUAUCCUAAACCUUUGUUUCUUUUGGCGUUUUCUUUGACACCACCAGUUUUUUCUUUGGAGAUUUAUGGGAGCAUCAUCGGCAUGUUCGAGCUAAACAACCUGUAAGCCAUCUCUGUCGUUGAGAAUCUCGAGUCACACGGCUUUUUCCAGAGAUGUCGUCGUCGCCUCACCCGUUGAAAACUACUUUCUCUACAUUCAAGAUCUUGAGCCAGCUCUCAAGGUAACUAGAAGAUAACAUGGAUGGACAAGUGCCACGUCUUUGAAUCACAGGAACAAACAGAACAAAUUACUCGACCACUGUUUGAGGCUUUGGGCGAGAAGUACGCUUCCUUCUGCCAAGGUGGGUUUAACGUCCAGAGCUAUUCGUGGAAUUUGAAUGUACUUCCAGGUUCUGGGUUUUUCGCAUUGCACAGCUGCAUAAACCACUCUUGCGAGCCGAAUGCGAAGGCUUUUAAGCGAGAUGAGGUCUGUUUUGUAGAGAGGAUAGAGCACAGUUUGACUCGAGUUAUUUUCAGGACAUAAAUGGCAAUGCUGUGAUAAUUGCGACGAGGAAGAUCAUGAAAGGAGAACAGGUGAAUCAAAUCUUUCUUUCUUGUUUUCACUCAAAAUGGUUUUCAGAUUUUCACCUCAUACAUCGAGGAGGAAGAUUUAUCGUACACCGAGAGACAAGCAAUGCUGUCGGACUACGGCUUCGCGUGCGAAUGUACCAAGUGCUUCAGGGAGAAAAACCAGUCUUGAAUCGAGCAAACCUUCGAUGCUAUUGCAAAAUCUGGACUCCUUGAACACCAACUUCUGCUUGUAAGCAUUCAAACCCAGAGCUGUUUAGAUCGUCGCUCACUUGUUCCAAGACCUUUGGAGACAGUCCUGCAAGAGCGAGCGAGAGUUAGGAGAAGAACAUAAAGAAGAUUUGAGGAAAGCUUCCUACCUCUUGGAAGUAAAGUGAUCACGCAGCCGCCACCUCCUCCUCCGGUGAGCUUGGAUUUCAAGCCGUACUUGGCUGUGAUCUUGCAAAUCUUCUCAAUGGACGCAUGGCUCACUCCAAUCGUUCCAAGAAGACCUUGGUUCAAAACGACGAGCUCCUCCAGCUUUUCCUGCUGGGACUGAUCCUGCGAAGCACGUAAACGAGUGAAUUCUCCGCUGAGGAGACACGAAAGUGUUGCUUACAGUCGCGGGCUGUGACUGGAGGAUCCCGAGAAAGUCUUCCGAGAUGCAAUCGAUAACAUCAAAGAUGCCAGACAUGACCUUGGGGUGCUUCUCCUUGAGCUGACGAACGCCGCUCACCAAUUUCUUGGUGUCUCUGGGAACUUUGGUGUUCGUGAUAAGCAUUUGCAGCGAGGCCAGGUUUGUGAGCACUUCUCUCUUGUCAUUCUUCAUCUUGACAACGUUUUCUGCCAAGAUCAUGAUCUUGUGUAAACGAAGAAAAGAAAAGCAAGAACUACCGAAGGUACACACUGUAUUGUCGAUCCCGGAUGGAUUUCCAUGGAUGAUCUUCUCUGCCUCGAAAGCCCAGCUGCUGAUGAGCCGUGCGUCGUCCUCGCAAACGCCGAUCCAAUUGCUCCCCUCAAGCUUCCCAUCCUUUUGGGGACGAGCGAAAGCCAGGAGCGAGGCAGCCACUGAGACUGCUAGAGCUGCCGAGGAUCCAAGCCCGCAAGACAUGGGAAUGGGAGUAGUCUUACGCUGGAAAGAGGAUUCGAACCUCUGACCUUGUGGUUAACAGCCACACGCUCUAGCUAGUCCAGCUUAUAUUAAUGAUAAAGAACUUAAAUAAUAAAUAGUUAAAUUUAUUAACGCGCGAUCUCAACGCUCAUCACAUGCCUAUAGCUCAGCUGCAAAUUAUAUUUUGAUCGAGCCUGACGGACGCGUUCACGAGCAAGUCAGCAUUGAGCUUCAUCGUUGUACUUCUCGUGCGCUCUUCCAUGUCGAUCCCGCCCGGGUUAGCAGCAUGCCAAUUAAAUGCCUGGAGCAAACUGGCCACGUAAAACGCGAUCGAUCUCAUCGCCAGUGGAUAGCCGGCACAUACUCUCCUGCCCGAUGAGAAUGGGAUGAAAUCAAAGUUCUGCCCGUUGAUGGCGCUGCUGGAGCCGAGAAGACGCUCCGGCUGGAACGUUCCUGGGUCGGACCAGCGAGUGGGAUCGCGUCCGAUGGCCCAUAUGUUGACGAGAACCUUGCAGCCGCCGGGGAUGGUGUAGCCGCCCAGGUUGACGGGCUUGAGAUUCUUGUGAGGAACUCCCAGUGGGGCCGCCGGGUGGAGACGCAGUGAUUCCUUGACAAUGGCAUCGAUGUAUGGAAGGUUUGGAAGAUCGGACUCUUGCACCGCGCGAGCUCUCCCUACAACGCUGUCCAGUUCGGCUUGAGCCUUGGACACGACUCGGGGAUGGCUUAUGAGCUCCGCCAUUGUCCACUCGAGCGUCACUUGUGAAGUUUCCAACCCUGCAACAACCAGGUCCUGUCGCAAGAAGUGAAAAAAACCAAUAUCACGAUGCUGGUAAAACUUACCACGAGCAGUGCCAAAAUGGAAAUGUCUGGCAAUUUAUCCUUGUCCUCGAGAGAUAUAAGAACGUCAGUGAAGUCUCGAGGGACGAACCCGUCCCCAGCUUGAUCUUUUCUGCGUCGAUGCUUGUCGACUUGAUCUUCCAGCAAGAGCUUCAGGCGAGGCAUGAGCUCCCUGUUGAGUUUCUUGUAGAUUCCAUGGAGAUCCAGCCCGUCAAGUGCCGGAAGCAGGGCACCGAUGUUCAGGUGCAAGCUUAGAGAUGCUAUCUUCUGGCUGAGAUCCAUAACCUCCAGCCCCCGCUCGCUAAAAAGAACCAGGCAUAGCGAAUUCGACAAGAGACUACUGAAAACCUCUUGCAAAUUGAUCGUUGUCUCGGAUUGCUGGAAAAUGGACUUGACUGUAUGCUUCAUCUCCGACUCCCGGAAUCCUGCGCUUACCUUGAGCAUACUGUUGCUAAACAGGUGUGUGCUGCAAAUCCUCCUCAUGGUCUUCCACUUAUCACCUAUAGGCCCGAGGAUGAGACCGUUCCAGUUGUGGCUGACGAUCCGAAAGAACUCGUCGUCCGGCCGGCUUGCAAACUCGAGAUCGUGGGUCUUAAGAACCUGUGCGGCCAUUUCGUUGUUGUUCACCACCACGAACGGGGCCAUUCCGAUCUUGAGGUAGACGAUCGGCCCAUACUUCUUGCUGAUCUUUGCAAAGUGCUGGUGGAGUGGCUCCUCGAGGGAGAAGAGCGCUCCAAAAAUGGGGAAAGAGAAUGGACCUGGAGGGAGGCGCCGUUGUUGCGAUGAUCGAAUUCUCCGUAUGAGGAGUGAUAGUGUGAUCCAGGCGAUGCCCAGGACAAACAAAGCCACACCUAAGUCCAUCGCUUCAAAGGUCUGAAUCUCCACGGCCAUGGCCAUAUUGUAGAGAACUUGACAGGAUCAAAGAAGACCCCCGGUGGGCGGGGUUCGCAAGGCUGCCGUCUCUGUUGGAUGGCCCCGUGGCAUGCAUGAUCCCAUAAAAAACUCGCAGUAGCAGUAGUAGCCGCCCACAUGGUUUAAAACUUAUAGGAGAAUAUAUUUGAAUAUUUUAGAAUAUUUUACUAUCUAACGGUUGUUAUUCAUUUAAAUUAAUCUUGUAUUUAUAAUUUAUAAACAUGUUUAUAAUUUAUGAACUUUCUUAAACCCUUUCUAGUAUAUUCUUUUUAUUCUAUCAUAUACAAUAAGAUUAAUCUUGUGUUUAUAAAUUACAAACAUGUUUAUAAUUACAAACUUUAUUUAAUCAAUUGGAUUAACAAGUAAGAAUAACACUAUUAUUAAGCAAACCAAGUGUUGCUAAAUAAUUUUUUAAUAAUACUAGUCAAAAACUUUUUACAAGAGGUCGAAGAGGUCUAUAUGGCCAAUCUCCCAUAUAGAAACUCGAACGCCCGCGGAAACACUCUCUUCUAGCCUGGAAGAAAUGCUCUUGGCGGUGGGGACGUAGACCCUGUGCUUGUUUUGAUCCUUAAAGUAGUGCACCGAAUCCCGGGAUCAGAAGCUCCAAGAAUUGGUCGCCAACAAUAGCUCCAUGAAAAGUAGGGUUAACAAAUAGGAAUCUCCUACCCGACGAGAAUGGAAUGAAAUCGAAGUGGCAGGGAUAGCGCUGCUGGAGCUGAGAAAACGCUCUGGCUGGAACGCUUCUGGGUGAGUGGAAUUGCGUCCGCGGCCAUGGCCAUAGUUGACAUGCAUCGUGAUUCCUCAGAUGGUUUGGAUUUUUAAUGAUACCACGCAAGACAUUUUUACAAGAGGUCGAAGAAAUGCUCCAAGCCUUGGCCAAUCUCCCAUAUAGAAACUCCAACACCCGCGGAAACACUCUCUUCUAGCCUCGAAGUAACGCUCUUGGCAGUGGGGAAGUAGACCCUGUGCUUGUUUUGAUCCUUGGAGUAAUCAAAGUAAUGCUCUCGGUUCAUCGAAUCCCAUACGAGCUUGGGAGUGUACUCUUUGAGAAGCUCCAAGAAUUGGUCGCCAACAAUAGCUCCACCACCUAGAAUGAAACUAGCGUUAAGAAAGUGUUUCGAGCAAGAAGCUCUAGCAUACCUCGCGGAAGAACGUAGUCGUUUCCAUAGAAGUUUAUUCCCAUCAGGAUCUUGGAAGAGACCUCGUUGGAUUUCCCUGCGAGUAAAGAGUUGAGGCAGGAGCGUAUCCAGGGAAGCGGUGCGUUCGGGCCUGGACGAUAAGCGUUUGAGAAAUCGUAAGUCAUGAGCGAGAAGCCAUCGACGGCGUGUUGCAAAGAAUGGAGGUCCCCUCGCGUGAACUCUUCCGGACCUCCUCCACGCUCGGGUGGUAUAACGAGCACGAGUUGCAAUGGACGGGUGGCGCUGGCAGCGUUGAGCUUGUGUAAGGACGAGCCAAG
rnacentral:lncRNA from 1 species